CCUACGGGAGGCAGCAGUGAGGAAUAUUGGUCAAUGGACGAGAGUCUGAACCAGCCAAGUAGCGUGAAGGAUGACUGCCCUAUGGGUUGUAAACUUCUUUUAUAUGGGAAUAAAACGUUCCACGUGUGGGAUUUUGUAUGUACCAUAUGAAGAAGGAUCGGCUAACUCCGUGCCAGCAGCCGCGGUAAUACGGAGGAUCCGAGCGUUAUCCGGAUUUAUUGGGUGUAAAGGGAGCGUAGGUGGAUUGUUAAGUCAGUUGUGAAAGUUUGCGGCUCAACCGUAAAAUUGCAGUUGAAACUGGCAGUCUUGAGUACAGUAGAGGUGGGCGGAAUUCGUGGUGUAGCGGUGAAAUGCUUAGAUAUCACGAAGAACUCCGAUUGCGAAGGCAGUUCACUGGACUGCAACUGACACUGAGGCUCGAAAGUGUGGGUAUCAAACAGGAUUAGAUACCCUUGAAGUC
rnacentral:rRNA from 1 species